UACGGAGGAUGCAAGCGUUCUCCGGAAUGAUUGGGCGUAAAGCGUCCGCAGGUGGCUGUGUAAGUCUGCUGUUAAAUAGUGAGGCUCAACCUCAUAAAGGCAGUGGAAACUACACGGCUAGAGUGCGUUCGGGGCAGAGGGAAUUCCUGGUGUAGCGGUGAAAUGCGUAGAGAUCAGGAAGAACACCGGUGGCGAAAGCGCUCUGCUAGGCCGCAACUGACACUGAGGGACGAAAGCUAGGGGAGCGAAUGGG
rnacentral:rRNA from 1 species